UACGAAGGGUGCAAACGUUGCUCGGAAUUAUUGGGCGUAAAGCGCACGUAGGCGGCUUUGCAAGUCGGAUGUGAAAUCCCUCGGCUCAACCAAGGAAGUGCAUCCGAAACUGCAGAGCUUGAGUACUUAAGAGGAUCGCGGAAUUCCCGGUGUAGAGGUGAAAUUCGUAGAUAUCGGGAGGAACACCUGUGGCGAAAGCGGCGCACUGGACCAUAACUGACGCUGAGGCGCGAAAGCUAGGGGAGCAAACAGG
rnacentral:rRNA from 1 species